GCCAGGCACAGUGGCUCAUGCCUGUAAUCCCACCAGCUUGGGAGGCUGAGGUAGGAGGAUCAUGAGUUCAAAGCCAGUCUCAGCAACUCAGUGAAACCCUGUCUCUA
rnacentral:sRNA from 1 species